rfam:Myotis lucifugus cont2.34618, whole genome shotgun sequence.
CUGUCUCUUGCUUCAACAUUGUUUGGACGGAACCG